GAUGAACGCUGGCGGCGUGCCUAAUACAUGCAAGUCGAGCGAACAGACGAGGAGCUUGCUCCUCUGACGUUAGCGGCGGACGGGUGAGUAACACGUGGAUAACCCACCUAUAAGACUGGGAUAACUUCGGGAAACCGGAGCUAAUACCGGAUAAUAUAUUGAACCGCAUGGUGCAAUAGUGAAAGACGGGUUUGCUGUCAACUAUCGAUGGAUCCGCGCCGCAUUAGCUAGUUGGUAAGGUAACGGCUUACCAAGGCAACGAUGCGUAGCCGACCGGAGAGGGUGAUAGGCGACACUGGAGGUUGAACGCGGUCAAGACGACUACGGGAGGGAGCAGUAGGGAAUCGGCCGCAAUAGGCGAAAGCCUGGCGGAGCAACGGCGCGUGAGAUAUAAAGGUCUUGGGAUCGUAAAGAUCUGUUAUGGGGGAAGAACAAAUGUGUAAGUAGCUGUGCACGUCUUGACGGUACCUAAUCAGAAAGCCACGGCUAACUACGUG
rnacentral:rRNA from 1 species